GCGCGUAAAUUGCCCGAAUCCUGACACAGGGAGGUAGUGACAAGAAAUAACAAUACAGGGCUACAUCUAGUCUUGUAAUUGGAAUGAGUACAAAUUAUACUUCUUAACGAGGAUCCAUUGGAGGGCAAGUCUGGUGCCAGCAGCCGCGGUAAUUCCAGCUCCAAUAGCGUAUAUUAAAGUUGUUGCAGUUAAAACGCUCGUAGUCGGAUUUCGGGGCGGGUCUACCGGUUUGCCGAUGGGUAUAUACUGGCGGGCGCGUCCUUCCUUCCGGAGACCGCGCCUCCUCUUAACUGAGCGGGCGUGGGAGACGGAUCGUUUACUUUGAAAAAAUCAGAGUGUUUCAAGCAGGCAUGUCGCUCUUGCAUGGAUUAGCAUGGGAUAAUGAAAUAGGACUUUGGUGCUAUUUUGUUGGUUUCGAGCACCGAAGUAAUGAUUAACAGGGACAGUCAGGGGCACUCGUAUUCC
rnacentral:rRNA from 1 species